rnacentral:rRNA from 1 species
AAACUGAAGAGUUUGAUCAUGGCUCAGAUUGAACGCUGGCGGUAUGCUUAACACAUGCAAGUCGAACGGUAACAGGCCUUCGGGCGCUGACGAGUGGCGGACGGGUGAGUAACGCGUAGGAAUCUGCCUGGUAGUGGGGGACAACGUGGGGAAACUCACGCUAAUACCGCAUACGCCCUACGGGGGAAAGCGGGGGCUCUUCGGACCUCGCGCUAUCAGAUGAGCCUGCGUUAGAUUAGCUAGUUGGUGGGGUAAAGGCCUACCAAGGCGACGAUCUAUAGCUGGUCUGAGAGGACGAUCAGCCACACUGGGACUGAGACACGGCCCAGACUCCUACGGGAGGCAGCAGUGGGGAAUAUUGGACA